rnacentral:rRNA from 1 species
UACGGGGGGGGCAAGCGUUGUUCGGAAUUACUGGGCGUAAAGGGCUCGUAGGCGGCCAACUAAGUCGGAUGUGAAAUCCCCAGGCUCAACUUGGGAACUGCAUCCGAUACUGGAUGGCUUGAAUUCGGGAGAGGGAUGCAGAAUUCCAGGUGUAGCGGUGAAAUGCGUAGAUAUCGAGAGGAACACCAGAGGUGAAGACGGGUUGCUGGGCCGACACUGACGCUGAUAGCGCGAAAGCCAGGGGAGCAAACGGG